GUGCUCGCUUUGGCAACACAUAUACUAAAAUUGGAAUGAUACAGAAAAGAUUAGCAUGUCCCUGUGCAAGGAUGACAUGCAAAUUCAUGAAGUGUUCCAUAUUAAA
ensembl:snRNA U6 U6 spliceosomal RNA